rnacentral:misc_RNA from 1 species
GAUGAAGAACGCAGCGAAAUGCGAUAAGUAAUGUGAAUUGCAGAAUUCAGUGAAUCAUCGAAUCUUUGAACGCACAUUGCGCCCGCCAGUAUUCUGGCGGGCAUGCCUGUUCGAGCGUCAUUUCAACCAUCAAGCCCCGGGCUUGUGUUGGGGACCUGCGGCUGCCGCAGGCCCUGAAAAGCAGUGGCGGGCUCGCUGUCACACCGAGCGUAGUAGCAUACAUCUCGCUCUGGGCGUGCUGCGGGUUCCGGCCGUUAAACCACCUUUUAACCCAAGGUUGACCUCGGAUCAGGUAGGAAGGCCCGCUGAACUUAAGCAUAUCAAUAAGCGGAGGA